AUUGAACGCUGGCGGCAGGCCUAACACAUGCAAGUCGAGCGGAGCGGUGGACGGGUGAGUAAUGCCUAGGAAACUGCCUGGUAGUGGGGGACAACGUCCGGUAACGGGCGCUAAUACCGCAUACUAUCAGAUGAGCCUCGGUCGGAUUAGCUAGUUGGUGGGGUAAAGGCCUACCAAGGCGACGAUCCGUAACUGGUCUGAGAGGAUGAUCAUUCACACUGGAACUGAGACACGGUCCAGACUCCUACGGGCGGCAGCAGUGGGGAAUAUUGGACAAUGGUCACAAGCCUGAUCCAGCCAUGCCGCGUGUGUGAAGAAGGUCUUCGGAUUGUAAAGCACUUUAAGUUGGGAGGCGUUACCAACAGAAUAAGCGCCGGCUAACUUCGUGCCAGCAGCCGCGGUAAUUC
rnacentral:rRNA from 1 species